rnacentral:rRNA from 1 species
AUGAACGCUAGCGACAGGCUUAACACAUGCAAGUCGAGGGGCAGCACAGGUAGCAAUACCGGGUGGCGACCGGCGCACGGGUGAAUAACGCGUAUGCAACUUGCCUAUCAGAGGGGGAUAACCCGGCGAAAGUCGGACUAAUACCGCAUGAAGCAGGGGCCCCGCAUGGGGAUAUUUGCUAAAGAUUCAUCGCUGAUAGAUAGGCAUGCGUUCCAUUAGGCAGUUGGCGGGGUAACGGCCCACCAAACCGACGAUGGAUAGGGGUUCUGAGAGGAAGGUCCCCCACAUUGGUACUGAGACACGGACCAAACUCCUACGGGAGGCAGCAGUGAGGAAUAUUGGUCAAUGGCCGAGAGGCUGAACCAGCCAAGUCGCGUGAGGGAUGAAGGUUCUAUGGAUCGUAAACCUCUUUUAUAAGGGAAUAAAGUGCGGGACGUGUCCCGUUUUGUAUGUACCUUAUGAAUAAGGAUCGGCUAACUCCGUGCCAGCAGCCGCGGUAAUACGGAGGAUCCGAGCGUUAUCCGGAUUUAUUGGGUUUAAGGGUGCGUAGGCGGCCUUUUAAGUCAGCGGUGAAAGUCUGUGGCUCAACCAUAGAAUUGCCGUUGAAACUGGGGGGCUUGAGUAUGUUUGAGGCAGGCGGAAUGCGUGGUGUAGCGGUGAAAUGCAUAGAUAUCACGCAGAACCCCGAUUGCGAAGGCAGCCUGCCAAGCCAUUACUGACGCUGAUGCACGAAAGCGUGGGGAUCAAACAGGAUUAGAUACCCUGGUAGUCCACGCAGUAAACGAUGAUCACUAGCUGUUUGCGAUACACUGUAAGCGGCACAGCGAAAGCGUUAAGUGAUCCACCUGGGGAGUACGCCGGCAACGGUGAAACUCAAAGGAAUUGACGGGGGCCCGCACAAGCGGAGGAAUAUGUGGUUUAAUUCGAUGAUACGCGAGGAACCUUACCCGGGUUUGAACGCAUUCGGACCGAGGUGGAAACACCUUUUCUAGCAAUAGCCGUUUGCGAGGUGCUGCAUGGUUGUCGUCAGCUCGUGCCGUGAGGUGUCGGCUUAAGUGCCAUAACGAGCGCAACCCUUGCCACUAGUUACUAACAGGUAAAGCUGAGGACUCUGGUGGGACUGCCAGCGUAAGCUGCGAGGAAGGCGGGGAUGACGUCAAAUCAGCACGGCCCUUACAUCCGGGGCGACACACGUGUUACAAUGGCGUGGACAAAGGGAAGCCACCUGGCGACAGGGAGCGAAUCCCCAAACCACGUCUCAGUUCGGAUCGGAGUCUGCAACCCGACUCCGUGAAGCUGGAUUCGCUAGUAAUCGCGCAUCAGCCAUGGCGCGGUGAAUACGUUCCCGGGCCUUGUACACACCGCCCGUCAAGCCAUGGGAGCCGGGGGUACCUGAAGUCCGUAACCGCGAGGAUCGGCCUAGGGUAAAACUGGUGACUGGGGCUAAGU